rnacentral:misc_RNA from 1 species
AAUGGCGUGCGAUCCGCAUGCGGACGCGCCCGGGCUCCGGUCUCGAGGCGUGGUCGCGUGCGGCUCCUUCGCUCUAUACCCUUGCCUAUUUGUACCCUCUUGUUGUUUCCUCGGCGAGUUCUGACUCGCCGGCGGGAAUUUUAUAAACCUCUUGCAGUAGUAUCCAAUCAUUCUGAUCAAAAAGUCUUAAAUCGUUA